rnacentral:lncRNA from 1 species
UUUCUUCUCGUCUGUCGCCAUGUGAGAUGUACCUUUCACUUUCCUCCAUGAUUGUGAGGCCUCCUUAGCCACAUGGAACUGCCCUGGCAAUCACUAUUCCAGUCUCUGCUUCUAUGAGUUUGACUAUUUCAGAUUCCACAUGUAGGAAAUGCUGGAGUCCUUCAUCCGAAUGGUAAAUGGCACUUGUGACAAAAAUCAAAGUAACUAAAAAAGAAUCUGGUUGAAACCUCAGUAACAGUUGGCCUGUCUACUGCCUCACACUAACAAGGGGGAGCUAAUAAAACCGAGGUUAGAACACACAAUGUGGAAAUGAAAACCUUAUUCUUGUCAAUGGAUGGAGGGUGGUGACCCCCACCUUUACAAGUGUCUGUAAUUCUCACUAGCAGUAUAUUAGAGGGCAAAAGAUUUGAACAGACACAUCAGAAAAGAAGACAUACAAAUGGCCGCUAAGCACUUGAAAGGAUUCUGAACACCAUUAGUCAUCAGUGAAAUGCAAAUUAAAGCCAUAAUGAAUGGCGCUAUACAUUUUCAGAAUGGCAAGGAUUGAAGACCGAAAAAAAUCAAGCGUUGAGGAGAGUGACAAAUGGGGAGACAGCCGUGGUGCAUGAUCGCCGAAUAAAUACCAUGUGAGGAUACAGCAAGAAGGUGGCCAUCUACAAGCCAAGGAGACAGGCCUCAGAAGAAACCAACCCUUCUUACACCCUGGACUCAGACUUCUAAUCUCCAGAACUUGUUAAUGCACAAGGUCUUGUGUUGAAAAUGUAGAGCCACGAGAUAAAAGCAGCUUGGAUGGCUGACUCAUAUACAAGGACAACUGCCUGAGAGUCACCAGGGCUAUCAAGAAGUUUGCAGAAACAAGAAAUAAACUUUUACUGUUUUAAACUUUUGUGAAUUUUGGGUUUUGUUUAUCACCAAAUAAACCUAGUCUAUUCUGAUUGUUAUAA